CGGUCAACAGCACCUUCCUGAUUGAAGAGAACCACGCGUUGUCUGUGUGGUUUACAAGUUUCUUGGCGAUAUGGGGGGAAAGUUCCUCACAUACCAACGGAAAAUGGGCUUCAUAUACAUGCUGCUGUCUCAUAAUAUGGCGAAGACGAGUCACCUGAAGGCCUAACUCGCCAUAGAAGACUGAAAGAAUUGUCCUGCAGGAUGCUGUGUCCUGCAAUCCUGUGUGCUGUGCUACAGACGCGUGUGGAGGUCAACCCAAAAUGGGCACAGUCUCACCACAGAAGAGUGAAAGAGGGUAAGCUUAACCUAUAGCCUACGUCAGGGUCGGGGAACGUUUCUCAUUCGAAGGGCCGCUUCAAAUUCAUCCGAGGGGCCGUAAAAGUCCUCCAAGGGCCGUACUAUGAACACAAACCAGGAUUUUCCCUUUCACUUUAGGCCUAUAUUGAAGGCAGCCACAUUUAAACAAACGCCACCUUCUUCAGGUUCCCUGAAUAUAACUUAAUUGUAUUGCAAAUGUAUUUUCUAAGGUUCCUUUACAAAAUAUGUCAUAUUUUAUGUGAAGCUGAAUAGCAUUAAAAUUAUAUCGGGGGGCCAGAUAAAACUGCCUCAAGGGUCGCAAACGGCCCUAGAGACAUAGGUUCCCCACCCCUGGCCUACAUUGUCAAUAUGACUUGUGCUACU